rnacentral:lncRNA from 1 species
CUGGUAUGGACAAAUUUGAGGGAUCCUCUGUCUUUUUGGCAGAGGGCAGAGUGCUGACAAUGCAGGAUCCUGCAACUUUUGCACAAGCGAGAGCAGUCACUAAGCUUAAGGAGGACCAGCAGUGGACUCCUUUCCAGAAAGCAAGUUUUAAACCAUCCACAAGUACCACCAUUUUAUUUGAACAGGAAGAACCUGGUACAUGUGAGAUCCCACAGUCUGCUUGGACAGUUAAAGCUUCAGCCUGCAAUCCUUGACGAUCAUGACUGGAAUUGCUGCAAUUUCUGCUUCCUCUGUUGUAUCGAAGACAGCCGAUGCAUAUCGAUUGCCCAUGUUCCCUGUGAGCAGAUCGUCUUGCGUGAUGUAGGGUCCUGGACACACAAACACGCAGACUUGCUCUGCCUCAACUAUGUACUACACGGCUCUUCAAGAUAUCAAGAACGAAUACAAUCUAUUGGUUGCUGGGAUGUGACGCGCAUGAUGACAUCAGUGCCUACAAACCGUCGGUCAAGUCUGCCUUUUCACGAUUAUUCGAUAUUUGAGACUCUGAUGACGCAUCUGUAUCCUCUGCAAUCUUAACGACAUUGCAAAUUAUAUUCACGCAUGCACGAGUGCCUUAGGCCAGGAUGGUGUAUUCCAGGUACAUCAUCGAAUCAUCAAGACU